UGGAUGAUGAUAAGAUGGUAUCUGAAUGAGCUAAAUUACUGUUGAGAAGCCUUGUACCAUCUGCUGCCUUCCUUCUGAUCAA
rnacentral:snoRNA from 13 species